CUUUGUAUAUGACUAAAAUUGUUAAAUUGUUCUUAUAAUUCCUUUAUGGUGGCUACAAUUCUUAUUAAAACAGAAGAGAUAGAAGAUGUGAACUCAAACAGCCAAUUUUCUCUACUUGCAAUCUAUAAGAAUUUUCAUCCAAGGACAAAGCAGCUGCAGAUGCCCACCCCCAGACGUGUCUGAAUCAUUCAAACAUGGAGAAACCCCUGGGAAUAC
rnacentral:lncRNA from 1 species